rnacentral:rRNA from 1 species
CCCUUAGAUGUCCUGGGCCGCACGCGCGCUACACUGAACGGAUCAGCGCGUUUUCCCUUCCCGAGAGGGACGGGUAACCUGCUGAACCCCGUUCGUGGUAGGGAUCGGGGCUUGCAAUUAUUCCCCGUGAACCAGGAAUGCCCAGUAAGUGCAAGUCAUAAGCUUGCGUUGAUUACGUCCCUGCCCUUUGUACACACCGCCCGUCGCACCUACCGAUUGAAUGGUCCGGUGAACCCUCCGGAUCGGCUCGCGCCAACGCAAGUUGAGCAAAGGCCGAGAAGUUGGGUAAACCUUACCAUUUAGAGGAAGGUGAAGUCGUAACA